rnacentral:tRNA from 1 species
GGUCCAGUGGUCUAGUGGCAUGAUUCUCCCUUAGGGUGGGAGACGUCCCGGUUCAAUUCCGGCUGGACCC